rnacentral:rRNA from 1 species
UACGGAGGGUGCAAGCGUUGUCCGGAUUUACUGGGUUUAAAGGGUGCGUAGGUGGAUUUGUAAGUCAGUGGUGAAAUCUCCGGGCUUAACCCGGAAACUGCCAUUGAUACUAUAAGUCUUGAAUUAUCUGGAGGUAAGCGGAAUAUGUCAUGUAGCGGUGAAAUGCUUAGAUAUGACAUAGAACACCAAUUGCGAAGGCAGCUUACUACGGAUAUAUUGACACUGAGGCACGAAAGCGUGGGGAUCAAACAGG